CUUGCGGCCAUAUCAUGUUGAAACACCGAUUGUCGUACGAUCACCGAAGUUAAGCAACAUCCGGCCUGGUCAAUACUUAGAUGGAUGACCGCUUGAGAAUA